rnacentral:rRNA from 2 species
CUGUUCGCCAUUUAAAGUGGUACGCGAGCUGGGUUUAGAACGUCGUGAGACAGUUCGGUCCCUAUCUGCCGUGGGCGCUGGAGAACUGAGGGGGGCUGCUCCUAGUACGAGAGGACCGGAGUGGACGCAUCACUGGUGUUCGGGUUGUCAUGCCAAUGGCACUGCCCGGUAGCUAAAUGCGGAAGAGAUAAGUGCUGAAAGCAUCUAAGCACGAAACUUGCCCCGAGAUGAGUUCUCCCUGACUCCUUGAGAGUCCUGAAGGAACGUUGAAGACGACGACGUUGAUAGGCCGGGUGUGUAAGCGCAGCGAUGCGUUGAGCUAACCGGUACUAAUGAACCGUGAGGCUUAACCUUACAACGCCGAAGGUGUUU